UUCCUUUCUGGCGGCUCUGUAGCAGAUUUAAUUGAGACCAAGAAUUAUUCCUUGGGAGAGCACUGGAUAGCCUAUAUAUGCAAGGAAGUAUUACUGGGCUUGACUUACUUGCAGGAGAUGAAUGUGAUCCACCAUGACCUUAAGGGCCUCAAUAUAAUGCUAACAUCAAGCGCCCAAGUGAAGAUAAUUGAUUUUGGCCUUGCUACUGUGGGAUCCAAAAGUAACAGCACAGCAGGAACCAUCAAUUGGAUGGCACCCGAAGUCUUUGCCUGCAUUGAGGACAGCACAGCACAAUAUGACUUUAAGGUAUGAUGAAUACAUAAGUUGUCAUUUAUUUAGGUUUUUAGAGAAGGGUCUAUGUGACACGAGAAAGCAAAAUGCAUUCAUUGUGCAGGAAACAAGAUUUUUAACAAACAAAUUCAUGCCAAAUGUACAGGUAGGAGACUAUUAGGGGGUUAUUUAUCAAGGUCUG